rnacentral:rRNA from 1 species
UACGUAGGUGACGAGCGUUGUCCGGAUUUACUGGGCGUAAAGAGCGCGCAGGCGGUCGUUCAAGUCGAGUGUGAAAGCCCUCGGCUCAACUGGGGAGGGUCACUCGAUACUGAUCGACUCGAAGGCAGGAGAGGGUAGUGGAAUUCCCGGUGUAGUGGGUGAAAAUGCGUAGAUAUCGGGGAGGAACACCAGUGGCGAAGGCGACUACCUGGCCUGUUCUUGACGCUGAGGCGCGAAAGCUAGGGGAGCAAACGGG